GUCUCCAGUGCUCACUUUGAGCUUCCUUGGGGUUUGUUUCUGACUAGCAGGGGAAAAAAAAAGGCAGUUUAGCAUUUAUCAGCUACACCAGUUUUACUGGAAACUAUUGAAAACGUUUAACAACUUGUCCUCGGGGGGAGGGAGGUGGUGCCACGAUGAGCACAUCAAGUGUUUUCUCUAAGUUACUCUUCUUCAAGCAAGGCUGAAAAAUGAACUCUAGAUACAAAUCACUCAGAACAGACCAGUGGUCACAUCACAACUCAUCCCUGGAUUCAAAAUCUCUCUCCUUCCCUUCUCCAGCUCCACACUCCACCAGGCUGCAGCUCCCCUCUCUGCAGUGCCAUCGUGGCACAAACCUGCCAGGAUGCCAUGGGAAGCUCUUAAUCUUACGAAAAAGAGCCUGAGGACAUUCUGAUGCUUCUGCAUGAAGAGAGAAAGCAGUCCACAGUGCCAAGAUAAAGCUGAGGCUUUGAGAGACCACAGGCAUUUUACCUAACACCAUAAACCCCAGUGUGGCACCUCCAGCUUGGCUCACCACUCCUCACUGCUCCAGACAGCCAGCAACACACUGGAAGGGACCUAAUUCCUGUACAGCUUCCCAUGGGCAGCACAGCCUUCUGGAGAUUCAUCCCUGGAUCACGGGAACCAGGGGGAUCUGCUAGAGGAGGGAAGUUCACCUCACUCACUGCCCAGCAAACUGUGUCUGUAUCAGCUGAAGACAACUCAAAGGCAAGUUUGCAAAAGCAGGUUAAAUAUCAGUGUAUGAUAUCAAGCACUGGCUUCUACAGUUUCAUAUUUUAAGAUCAGAUAAAAAAGGAAAGAAAGGUUUUUCCCUGCACAUCUCUUUAUAGACUUUCCAACAGCUUACACACAAAGCAUUUAGACACUUUAAUUUCCACUCUAAUAUGAAUACUCUAACCCCAAAUGAAACCUAUUAAAAAUUAAAUUCUUAUAUUAAGUUUAAGAUGCGUCUCUUUUCUCCCCAGGUCCCAUUAAACACUCUCCCUACACACAGUUUAGAAGACAGAAGAGAUCCUAGAGAAUAUUUACAAAGAGAACAAAACCCCCUGAGGGUUUUUAUGUUACUACAACAUUAAUCUAUUUUAAUCACACAACAGAUUAAAACCAAACAACAUUAAAUGGUUCUGCAAAGUA